AGGCGGGCACUCUCCCAUUGGGCCAUGUGGUUGAGAUUUGCAGUGCUCCUUGCAUGGCCGUCGGCGGAGGCAAGGGCAUCACUCUUGGGUUUAUGUGUCACUGGGUCGAUCCCCAUCUUUGCUAGCUGCUUCUUUAAAUUUUAGAAGAAAAGUAUGCCGAUAUGUACUCACCUGUUACCAAGCAGAGCAUGAAGCUGGAUGAUGGUCUGUUCUUCCUGCAUACUAAACUUCCCCCUCUUGAUAUCUGGUCUGAGGUAAUUUGUCCACCUGAGCCUGCAGCUUUUCCCACAUCUUUGAAGCCCUGUUCAAAGAAGAGGCAAACCUUGAAUCGGUACUAGAAGAAAAAAUUCACAUGGAUUCUGCAACGGACUCACCAGCUUUGGCUGGCAAUGCUCUCCAGCUUCCAUGGCCAUGCUCCUCAAUGUAGGAAAGCAACUUCUGGUCCUCCUCUGGCGUCCAUGGCCCCUUCUUCAAGCCAACCUUCUCACAGCAAGGGGAUCUGCCCAUAUUCUUUGGCUUCCAAAGUUGUGACAACAAGGAGAUUCUUCUGAAGGUCUCUUAUUACAGUAUUAUCAUGGAAACGAGAGUGAAAUUCUGCUUAUGGGAUAAAUUGGCCAUUAGACUGGGAGGGGAAGGAUAAAUAGUGACGGAGGGUAGAGGGAAUAGCGAAAGGACAAACAAUAAUUUUGAUAUUUUAUAAAAGUGGUCAUCUUUUGGAUAUCGGAGUCCUUGCUCGAGGUAUAUUCCAAGGUAAAUAAAUGAAAACAGAUUAUUAUCUAAACCAAAUAAAUCUAUACAGUUCCUCACUUCCCUUCUUCAACAAUAGCUUUAGUUCCGAAGUCCUCAUGGCUCGUUAGUUUUAUUUGUGCAGUCUCUGUAAAUUGUGAAAAAUAAUUAGCUUAGCCUUGUUGGGCGCACAGUUGUAUAUUUAAAUUUCUUGCCACUUGACAACCCUUUCAUUGA